rnacentral:rRNA from 1 species
UACAGAGGGGGCAAGCGUUGUUCGGAAUUACUGGGCGUAAAGGGCGCGUAGGCGGCCUGCUAAGUCGAACGUGAAAUCCCCGGGCUCAACCCGGGAACUGCGUCCGAUACUGGUUGGCUUGAAUCCGGGAGAGGGAUGCGGAAUUCCAGGUGUAGCGGUGAAAUGCGUAGAUAUCUGGAGGAACACCGGUGGCGAAGGCGGGUCUCUGGGCCGUAACUGACGCUGAGGAGCGAAAGCAUGGGGAGCGAACAGG